rnacentral:rRNA from 1 species
GGAAGGAAAGGGAAUGGGCAACGGUAGGUCAGUAUGCCCCGAAUAUCCCGGGCUACACGCGAGCUACAAUGGUUGGUACAAUGGGUAUCUACCCCGAAAGGGGACGGAAAUCUCCUAAAACCAAUCUUAGUUCGGAUUGAGGGCUGCAACUCGCCCUCAUGAAGCUGGAAUCCGUAGUAAUCGCGUUUCAACAGAACGCGGUGAAUACGUCCCUGCUCCUU